rnacentral:rRNA from 1 species
GGUACCUUCGGGGUACACGAGCGGCGAACGGGUGAGUAACACGUGGGUGAUCUGCCCUGCACUUCGGGAUAAGCCUGGGAAACUGGGUCUAAUACCGGAUAUGACCUUCGGCUGCAUGGCUGAGGGUGGAAAGGUUUACUGGUGCAGGAUGGGCCCGCGGCCUAUCAGCUUGUUGGUGGGGUAAUGGCCUACCAAGGCGACGACGGGUAGCCGACCUGAGAGGGUGACCGGCCACACUGGGACUGAGACACGGCCCAGACUCCUACGGGAGGCAGCAGUGGGGAAUAUUGCACAAUGGGCGAAAGCCUGAUGCAGCGACGCCGCGUGAGGGAUGACGGCCUUCGGGUUGUAAACCUCUUUCAGCAGGGACGAAGCGAAAGUGACGGUACCUGCAGAANAAGCACCGGCCAACUACGUGCCAGCAGCCGCGGUAAUACGUAGGGUGCAAGCGUUGUCCGGAAUUACUGGGCGUAAAGAGNUCGUAGGCGGUUUGUCGCGUCGUCUGUGAAAACUCNAGGCUCAACNUCGAGCUUGCAGGCGAUACGGGCAGACUUGAGUACUGCAGGGGAGACUGGAAUUCCUGGUGUAGCGGUGAAAUGCGCAGAUAUCAGGAGGAACACCGGUGGCGAAGGCGGGUCUCUGGGCAGUAACUGACGCUGAGGANCGAAAGCGUGGGUAGCNAACAGGAUUAGAUACCCUGGUAGUCCACGCCGUAAACGGUGGGCGCUAGGUGUGGGUUUCNUUCCAC